ensembl:lncRNA
AAAAACACAAGACAUAACACAACAGAGAGACAAAUACAGGUCAGUUUUGUGCAUUGUUAAGUGCUAUGAUGGCUCUGGGAUAGAAGAUUCAGUUCUGGGCCAGAGGUGUGGAUCUCUGUUUUGGUGCCUUAUUGGUGUUUUUCCCCGCCAGUGUCCUGUUUCACGGCAUCGUCUUUCCUCUCUAUAUCCCACUGACCUCUUGCUGUCUCUGUUCUGUUGCAGGCGCUAAUCAUUGGAUUUGUAUGCAGUUUGGUAAAGUUAGUUCACCUGCCGCUGAACAUUACAUUCUUGCUUAUCUAGAACAGUAUCAAUGUCACUCACAAACUUUGGAAAGUCUGAAGUAUGAAGUGGAUGUACAACUGAUUUGAAAUUCAGUGCGUUACUUUUCAGUGGACCGCAUAUAGCAAAGACUUUCUCUGAAAUGGCCACUGAUUCUGGUUACAUCUCAUGUGACAAUCCUUGUUUCAUGGACACACAUGACCAUCACAUUAAUAAGGCCACAUGCAGUGAGUACACACAUCUCUGGAAGCGCGCUCCUGUUAGCGGUGUGCAUUAUCAGUGUCAGCAGACAGAGGAGAGAGCUCGUGUGCUGCCGUCUCUCCGGGAAAACAGACACGCCGCGCUAAAAAGCUCCACUCUGCAUGGAGGUGAGUGUGGGGUUGCUAGGUAACAGCCGGUCCUCUCCGAAUCCCCAUGACUGUUGCUGGAAUGUGAGCCGCCUCUUGCAGAGAUUUCUGAGAACUGCUCGCCCUCCUCCAGAGCAUGCCUGCCGCGGUCACAAGCACCCUUCAGACAACCUCCCAGAAUGCCGAGGAAUAACCCAGAAAUCAACUCACUAGACGCACAGACUGUGAUUUAAAAGGUGACAAAGCGCCGCCUUCGUUAGCCGGAACAGUCUGUGCGCGGGGUGAAGUGAGGCUCUGUUAUUGGAAUCCUCCACGGCUCUCCUCACCUCACUCGGCACAAUAGAGCAAUCAGACACAAGGGUGCUCGAGAGGAGACUAGGGUCCUUUGUCUGUGCCUCUUCUGGUUGCGCAUCCACAGGGUGUGAUGCGCUCCUCUCUUCCCCUGCAGUUGGUGCUGAUGAAAAGGACUCCAUCCUUCCACUCCUCUACAGCUUGUUGCUAGGGGCAACAGCAGUGAUGAAAGCUCUGAACCCUUUUUGAGGCUAAAGCUUUCGGGGUCUCGGUCUAGAGAUAGUCUCGGGUCUUUAGGAGAAGGGCAUUAACACAGGGAGCCUUCACAGGAGCAUUCACGAGCUCAGAUAGCAUUUCAGAUGACCACACUACACUAUAGGCUCUACUGGGGCUGUGGGAUGAAGCACUGCUUGAUCCCUUAGCUACAUCACCUUUCAUGCAAAAACAAUGGGAUCACCUAAUGGGAUUAAAAAUCCAUAGCAGAGCAAAAAAGACCAAAUCAAGAGAUGAAAUGAGAGAUGAAAUCAGGAGCAGCUAAGGAGCUAGUACACUUCUGUUGAAUAAUGAGUAUGUAAGCUAAGGAGCUAGUGCAUUUCUGUUGAAUAAUGAGUAUGUAAGCUAAGGAGCUAGUGCAUUUCUGUUGAAUAAUGAGUAUGUAAGCAAAGGAACUAGUACAUUUCUGUUGAAUAAUGAGUAUGUAAGCAAAGGAACUAGUGCAUUUCUGUUGAAUAAUGAGUAUGUAAGCAAAGGAACUAGUGCAUUUCUGUUGAAUAAUGAGUAUGUAAGCUAAGGAGCUAGUGCAUUUCUGUUGAAUAAUGAGUAUGUAAGCUAAGGAGCUAGUACAUUUCUGUU